GAAACAUCUUUAUUCAUUGUGUUCAGAGACGCUCACAUGUGAUGUGAUUCUGUUGUUGUUUACUCUUGUCAUUGAUACUUUCAUGAUUCUUGAGGUGUCAAAAUGUCGAAGAGAAUUCUUGAUGACGAAGAAAUAGAAGAGUGUGAUACAGAAAUUGGAAAAUCUACAUUAUUUAUGGAUCUGUAGAAAUACGACGGUCCGCCUCUUCCCAUCAGCCGAAAAGAACUACAAGACGGCGAUGCGCCUUUUGUAGCAACAAGAAGAAACAAAUGUCGACAUUCUGGAUGUGUUCCAUUUGCUGUGUUCCUCUGUGUUUGAGCAAAAACAAGGACUGUUUCCAAAAGUACCACUCACAGCAGUAAAUUAGGCCAGAAACUCUCAGUAAAUGAUUGUUUUUUUAAAUUUUCUUCUGACAAUAAUCAUACUUAUAUGUAUCUUUAUCAUAUAAUAAUAUAACCUCAGUUUGACCUGGA